rnacentral:lncRNA from 1 species
GUGUGACCUGUGUUUAUUGACGUGAGCAGAAUUGACUUCUCAUCUUUGGGUCAUGUCUGCAGAGCACAGCACUCACUCACACAGUGGGCACAGUACCCCUCACACAGUGGGCACAGCGGCUCUCACACAGUGGGCACAGCAGCUCUCACACAGUGGGCACAGCAGCACUCACACAGUGGGCACAGCAGCUCUCACACAGUGGGCACAGCAGCUCUCACACAGUGGGCACAGCAGCACUCACACAGUGGGCACAGCAGCUCUCACACAGUGGGCACAGCAGCUCUCACACAGUGGGCACAGCAGCUCUCACACAGUGGGCACAGCAGCACUCACACAGUGGGCACAGCAGCUCUCACACAGUGGGCACAGCAGCUCUCACACAGUGGGCACAGCAGCACUCACACAGUGGGCACAGCAGCUCUCACACAGUGGGCACAGCAACUCUCACCCACCGCCACAUGGUUGGGCUCUGCCACGUCCUGCCAUGAACCCAGAGCACACCCCUCACACAGUAGGCACAGCACUCACAGUGGGCACAGCAGGUCUCACCCACCACAUGGUUGGGGCUCUGCCACGUCCUGCCACCCAGGGCACAGCAGCACUCACACAGUGGGCACAGCGGCUCUCACACAGUGGGCACAGCAGCUCUCACCCGCCCGCCACAUGGUUGGGCUGUGCCACGUCCUGUCAUGAAACCCAGAGCACGCCACUCACACAGUGGGCACAGCAUCUCUCACCCGCCCGCCACAUGGUUGGGGCUCUGCCACGUCCUGCCACCCAGGGCACAGCAGCACUCACACAGUGGGCACAGCGGCUCUCACACAGUGGGCACAGCAGCUCUCACCCGCCCGCCACAUGGUUGGGCUGUGCCACGUCCUGUCAUGAAACCCAGAGCACGCCACUCACACAGUGGGCACAGCAUCUCUCACCCGCCCGCCACAUGGUUGGGCUGUGCCACGUCCUGCCACGAAACCCAGAGCACGCCACUCACACAGUGGGCACAGCAUCUCUCACCCGCCCGCCACAUGGUUGGGCUGUGCCACGUCCUGUCAUGAAACCCAGAGCACGCCACUCACACAGUGGGCACAGCAUCUCUCACCCGCCCGCCACAUGGUUGGGCUGUGCCACGUCCUGCCAUGAAACCCAGAGCACGCCACUCACACAGUGGGCACAGCAUCUCUCACCCGCCCGCCACACGGUUGGGCUGUGCCACGUCCUGCCACGAAACCAAUCAAGUAUGGAGCACGACACCUGGCUGUGGAUGAUGCAAUGUAUGCAUCCCUCUUCCCCUCCAUUCUAUCACUCACACACUUUUAACACAAGCUUGGACUCCGACUCAGGCACUUCCUGUCUGGCUUUGACAUUACACACACACACACACACACACACACACACACACACACACACACACACACACACACACACACACACACACACACACACACAGAGUUUGGACCUGCGCACAAGGACAUCACACAUCAAGCUCACACACAAUGACGUCACACAUCAAACUCACACACAAUGACGUCACACAUCAAGC